UACGUAGGGGGCAAGCGUUGUCCGGAUUUAUUGGGCGUAAAGAGCGUGUAGGCGGCCAAGUAGGUCCGGUGUGAAAACUCGAGGCUUAACCUCGAGAUGUCAUCGGAAACCAUUUGGCUAGAGUCCGGAAGAGGAAAGUGGAAUUCCCGGUGUAGCGGUGAAAUGCGCAGAUAUCGGGAAGAACACCGUGGCGAAGGCAGGCUUCGUGG
rnacentral:rRNA from 1 species